CCGUAGCCCAAGAGACUGGGAUAACACCUGGAAACAGAUGCUAAUACCGGAUAACAACACUAGACGCAUGUCUAGAGUUUAAAAGAUGGUUCUGCUAUCACUCUUGGAUGGACCUGCGGUGCAUUAGCUAGUUGGUAAGGCAACGGCUUACCAAGGCAAUGAUGCAUAGCCGAGUUGAGAGACUGAUCGGCCACAUUGGGACUGAGACACGGCCCAAACUCCUACGGGAGGCAGCAGCA
rnacentral:rRNA from 1 species